CGCGGGAUAGAGGAACAGUACCUCGCCAGGCUCAUAAUCUGGAGGUCUCGGUGCGAAUCCGAGUCCCGCAACCA
rnacentral:tRNA from 1 species